CCAGACUCCUACGGGAGGCAGCAGUGAGGAAUAUUGGUCAAUGGCCGAGAGGCUGAACCAGCCAAGUCGCGUGAGGGAUUACGGCCCUACGGGUUGUAAACCUCUUUUGUCGGGGAGCAAAGAGAGUCACGUGUGGCUCAUUGAGAGUACCCGAAGAAAAAGCAUCGGCUAACUCCGUGCCAGCAGCCGCGGUAAUACGUAUGGUGCAAGCGUUAUCCGGAUUUACUGGGUGUAAAGGGAGCGCAGGCGGCACGGCAAGCCUGAUGUGAAAGCCCGCGGCCCAACCGCGGGACUGCAUUGGGAACUACCGGGCUGGAGUGCCGGAGAGGUAGGCGGAAUUCCUAGUGUAGCGGUGAAAUGCGUAGAUAUUAGGAGGAACACCAGUGGCGAAGGCGGCCUACUGGACGGUGACUGACGCUGAGGCUCGAAAGCGUGGGGAGCAAACAGGAUUAGAUACCCGAGUA
rnacentral:rRNA from 1 species